CGGGGUGUAGCGCAGCCUUGGUAGCGCAUCUGCUUUGGGAGCAGAGGGUCGCAGGUUCAAAUCCUGUCACCCCGAC
rnacentral:tRNA from 1 species